GACGAACCGUGCGAACGUUAUUCGGAAUCACUGGGCUUAAAGCGCGUGUAGGCGGCCCGGCGCGUCAGUGGCUGAAAUCCCCCGGCUCAACCGGGGAACGGGCCCUGAAACGUCCGGGCUGGAGGGGGGUAGGGGGAUCGGGAACUUCCGGUGGAGCGGUGAAAUGCGUUGAGAUCGGAAGGAACGCCCGCGGCGAAAGCGCGGUCCUGGACCCCACCUGACGCUGAGACGCGAAAGCCAGGGGAGCGAACGGG
rnacentral:rRNA from 1 species